rnacentral:rRNA from 1 species
AUGACCCGCGAAGCCCCUGGACGCCAUGUACCACAAGCGUUGCAUUAUGUUUCAUCCUUGUCAAGUACCCAUGGACGCCAAAUACAACGAUGUCGGUGCCCCUCAAGUUCGGCUACACGAAAAUGCCAAGUACCCCUUCAUGUCGACAAGACCCGCAAGUCGGACCCUGAAAGAUCGACGACUUGUGGACCAUGUACAACUUCAGUCGCCGAACACCCAGGUAGCAUAAGUGCCAAGUACCCCAGAGACCACUUGGACGUCAAGUACCGUCGACCCAUGAAGACUCCGUGGACGUCAAGUUUCUCGCCGUGA